rnacentral:rRNA from 1 species
CAGUAGCCACGGGAAUACGUAGGGCGCAAGCGUUGUCCGGAAUUAUUGGGCGUAAAGAGCUCGUAGGCGGUCUGUCGCGUCUGGUGUGAAAUCCCGAGGCUCAACCUCGGGCUUGCAUCGGGUACGGGCAGACUAGAGUGCGGUAGGGGAGACUGGAAUUCCUGGUGUAGCGGUGGAAUGCGCAGAUAUCAGGAGGAACACCGAUGGCGAAGGCAGGUCUCUGGGCCGCAACUGACGCUGAGGAGCGAAAGCAUGGGGAGCGAACAGGAUUAGAUACCCGCGUAGUCCCUGUCUCUUAUAC